UAGGGAAUCUUCGGCAAUGGGGGGAACCCUGACCGAGCAACGCCGCGUGAGUGAAGAAGGUUUUCGGAUCGUAAAGCUCUGUUGUUAAGGAAGAACGAGUGUGAGAAUGGAAAGUUCAUACUGUGACGGUACUUAACCAGAAAGGGACGGCUAACUACGUGCCAGCAGCCGCGGUAAUACGUAGGUCCCGAGCGUUGUCCGGAUUUAUUGGGCGUAAAGCGAGCGCAGGCGGUUAGAUAAGUCUGAAGUUAAAGGCAGUGGCUCAACCAUUGUAGGCUUUGGAAACUGUUUAACUUGAGUGCAGAAGGGGAGAGUGGAAUUCCAUGUGUAGCGGUGAAAUGCGUAGAUAUAUGGAGGAACACCGGUGGCGAAAGCGGCUCUCUGGUCUGUAACUGACGCGGAGGCUCGGAAGCGUGGGGAGCGAACAGG
rnacentral:rRNA from 1 species